GGGGUUGUGGUUCAGUGGUAGAGUGCUUGCCUAGCAUGCAUGAGGCACUGGGUUUGAUUCCCAGCACCA
rnacentral:tRNA from 1 species